ACUAUCUGGUUUAGUGUGCAAUUGAUUGGCCGAAUGCAAAAGAAAUAAGAAUUGAUUUCAUGAUUUUCGUCAUUUGUGUUUGCAGGUUUCAUAUGCCAUGAACGAAACAGCAAGCAAUAAAACUUGAGCAAUACAAAGGAAAAAAUGGUUUCAGUCGAGUCAAAGGUUAAACGCAGAAGGUUGAUGCCAGAUCAACUGGUAUGUGUACUACCGAAAGUUGAUAUCAGAUAUUUUGACUGGUGUUACCUCAAGAACAGAUCUACAAUGUCUGAAGCCCCAGGGAUUGGUAUGCACAUGGGUUAGCUGCCUUGGAAUAACAGAUCCAAAAGUUUCACUGGAGAAACAGCUUGAGCAUAUAAGGAAGGUUGCUAACCUAGGACAAUUUGAAGGCAGAAUUGGAAAGUGUGAAAAGAUUUUCAUUCCAAUGCUUGAGAAGUAUGAUCACGACGAUGUUGGGCACUGGUACUUGUUGGUCAUACAUCCGAAGGACCGUUAUGCUAAAAUAUUGGAUAGUUCUCCAUGGAGAGUUGAGCAACGCCAACUAGACGCACGUAGAGUGAUGCGCAUGGUCGAUGACAUUUUUUGGGAAGAUUUCCUUGUUGUUGAGGAUGCACCACGAAGUGUAUGAAGUCUUCCUUUUAAAGAACCUCAUGAUACUGGUCCAAGGCAAAAAGGCAGUACAGACUGCGGGAUAUAUGUCAUGAGAAACAUGGAAAUAUAUGGGACUGAUUGGGCUGCCAAUUAUGAUUCGGAAACCGAGCGAGCAUGUUUGGUGAUCGAUUUUCUUAGGAAUGUGAAGAAUGAGGUCAGUGACUGCAGUUAAAAGUGGACCACUCCUUGCUUUCAAUGGAGGCAAAGUGAAGAUAAUGGAAGGUAUAAGAUGGGAAAGGGAGAAACUUUGGGUUUGAAGCAUGAGGGUAGGCCGUUAGAACUGUUAUCAGAUGAUCCUACAGUUUGAGCAAGUGUAGGACUGUUGUAGCUAAAGAGGCGUUGAGUUUCUGUUCUGAUUGUUAGUCUGUUGGUGUUUUCAUUCCAUGUUUGUCAAUAAGCCUGAUAUUAGGGACUUUUUCCGUUGUGUUUGAUUGUUUCCAGUUCAUGCACCAUGCUUCUAGGUAGUGUUCGGCGUGGGUUGUCUUUUGAAUUCCAAUUUCUUUAUAAGUAAAACGUUGUCAUAAUAAUGAAAUAUUAACUA